CUCGCGCGGGGAAGGACCGGAACUCCGGGCGGGCGGCUUGUUGAUAAUAUGGCGGCAGGAGCUGCCUGGGCAUCUCGAGGAAGCGGUGGGGCCCACACCCGGAAGAAGGGUCCUAUUUCAGGCUAGUGCAGCGGCCCCUGCGGGCCCGGAAGUCCGGGCCGGUUGCUGAAUGAGGGGAGCCGGGCCCUCCCCGCGACAGUCCCCCCGCGCCCUCCGCCCCGACCCGGGCCCCGCCAUGUCCUUCUUCCGGCGGAAAGUGAAAGGCAAAGAACAAGAGAAGACCUCAGAUGUCAAGUCCAUUAAAGCUUCAAUAUCCGUACAUUCCCCACAAAAAAGCACUAAGAAUCAUGCCUUGCUGGAGGCUGCAGGACCAAGUCAUGUUGCCAUCAAUGCCAUUUCUGCCAACAUGGACUCCUUUUCCAGUAGCAGGACAGCAACACUCAAGAAGCAGCCAAGCCACAUGGAGGCUGCUCAUUUUGGAGAUCUGGGCAGAUCUUGUCUGGACUACCAGACUCAGGAGACCAAAUCAAGUCUUUCAAAGACCCUUGAACAAGUCUUGCACGAUUCUGUUGUCCUCCCAUAUUUCAUUCAGUUCAUGGAACUUCGGAGAAUGGAGCAUCUGGUUAAAUUUUGGUUGGAGGCCGAAAGUUUCCACUCAACGACUUGGUCCCGAAUAAGAGCACACAGUCUGAACACAGUAAAACAGAGCUCACUGGCUGAGCCUGUCUCUCCAUCUAAAAAGCACGAAACUACAGCAUCUUUUGUGACUGAGUCUCUUGAUAGGAGAUUGGAGGAUUCUAGCUCAGCCCAAUUGCUUAUGACUCAGUCAGAAGAAAUUGACCUGAAUGGUAGAACUAACAUCACUCAGAAUCACUUGCUGCUCUCCCAGGAAUGUGACAGUAUGCAUUCUCUUCAUCUUGAAAUGGCCAGAGCAGGAACUCAUCACGCUUCUGUAGAAACCCAAGAAUCCUCCUCUAGACUUACAGUAGCCAGUAGAAAUAGCCCCUCUUCUCCAUUGAAAGAAUUAUCAGGAAAACUAAUGAAAAGUAUAGAGCAAGAUGCCGUGAAUACUUUUACCAAAUAUAUAUCUCCAGAUGCUGCUAAACCAAUACCAAUUACAGAAGCAAUGAGAAAUGACAUCAUAGCAAAGAUUUGUGGGGAAGAUGGACAAGUUGAUCCCAACUGUUUCAUUUUGGCACAGUCCAUAGUCUUCAGUGCAAUGGAGCAAGAGCACUUUAGUGAGUUUCUGCGAAGUCACCAUUUCUGUAAAUACCAGAUUGAAGUGCUGACCAGUGGAACUGUUUACCUGGCUGACAUCCUGUUCUGUGAGUCAGCCCUCUUUUAUUUCUCUGAGUACAUGGAAAAAGAAGAUGCAGUGAAUAUCUUACAGUUUUGGUUGGCAGCAGAUAACUUCCAGUCUCAGCUUGCUGCCAAAAAGGGCCAGUAUGAUGGACAGGAGGCACAGAAUGAUGCCAUGAUUUUAUAUGACAAGUACUUCUCCCUCCAAGCCACACAUCCUCUUGGCUUUGAUGAUGUUGUCCGGUUAGAAAUUGAAUCCAACAUCUGCAGAGAAGGUGGACCGCUCCCUAACUGUUUCACAACUCCAUUACGUCAGGCCUGGACGACCAUGGAGAAGGUCUUUUUGCCUGGCUUUUUGUCUAGCAAUCUUUAUUACAAAUAUUUGAAUGACCUCAUUCACUCAGUUCGAGGAGAUGAAUUUCUGGGAGGGAAUGUUCCACCGACUGCUCAUGGCCCUGCAGGCCCUUCUGAUGAGUCUCACCCAGGUGGUUCUGACAGCUCCGCUUCUCAGUCCAGUGUGAAAAAAGCCAGUAUUAAAAUCCUGAAAAAUUUUGAUGAAGCAAUAAUUGUGGAUGCUGCAAGUCUGGAUCCAGAGUCUUUGUAUCAGCGGACAUAUGCAGGGAAGAUGACAUUUGGAAGAGUUAGUGACUUGGGACAGUUCAUCCGAGAAUCUGAGCCUGAACCUGAUGUGAAGAAAUCAAAAGGAUCCAUGUUCUCACAAGCUAUGAAGAAAUGGGUGCAAGGAAAUACCGAUGAGUUUGAAUUACUUCCUUUAGGCCCAAGAAGAGUUGGCUUGGAAGAUUGCUAAAAUGAUAGUCAGUGACGUCAUGCAGCAGGCACAGUAUGAUCAACCACUAGAGAAAUCUACAAAGCUAUGACUCAAGCCUGAGAUAAAGGAAAUCUACUUUUGAGAAAACAGAAAACUUUUUUCCUUUGGUUGGAAUCUUCAACACAGCCAGUGAAAACAGAGCACUAUGUUUCCUUUCACUGAUCUAUCACUGUUGUUUCCAAGAAAGAAUGGGAGACAAUCCUAGACUUCUACCAUAACGCAGAGUAACAUGUAGACUUGAUGCACACGAUGUUCACACAGUGAGAGUCAUAAAGAUACAAAGUGGCAUUGUUUACAUUACUAGAAAAUUCUUAGUUUUCCAUGGCAAUAACCCAUUUAUGAGAGAGUUUUAGCCCCCUGGAAUAGACAAAGGACCACAUGCCUUGGGAGGCAGAUCAGCCUGGGGUUGCUGUCAAACUGAUCCAUCUCUGGCAGCAUCACAGAGCAGGUGUCAGAGGUGCCGUGUGUAGUCCUCCUAAAACAGACAGGCGUGAGCCCACCGAGAGCCAGGAGGGGCGGCAGUGCGGUGCUAACAGAGAGGGGACUCAGCUGUGCUGUCUUCCUUCACAGAGGCGUUACUUGAGAAGGAAACUGACAGGCCAUGGGUCAGGUCUCAGUGACAUCAUCAUUCCCGUUGGUGGCAGUAUACAAUUUACACACCUUAAUUGCUCCUGAGCUGCAGCGUCCUUACAGUUGUCUCUGCUGCUAACAAAGCGUGAUGCUAGUUCACUGUGAGCAUCCAGACUUGCUCCUUUGAAUUCUGCGCUCCAGUGACUUAACUUUCCUUUCAGCAUAUGUGUGAAAAGAAUGAGUAAUGAUCACUCCAGUUUUCCCUCUGUAGUGUCUUGAACAAAAUGGUUAUUCCCAGAUUGUACUUUUUUUUUUUUUAAGUAAGAUGGACAGGUUGGGCUGGAGGGAGGGAGGAACUCGCCUAGGUUUGCCUCCCCUGUUCUUUGCUCUGAGCUGGGAAGUGUACAGUUGGCGGCCUUUUUUCUUUCUGUCUUCAGGACAGAAGUAGACUCACUGCUCUUGCGCUCAGUCAGCUCUUUCGUGGGGACCCCACAGCCGUCAGCAGGGCUGCCCAGUUGGCAAGCACACUCCACCGGCCCUGUGGUGCCAGUGCCUCCUCGAUGUGCGUAAUUGUUUGAAGGCUAAGUUUGUUCUCUUAGGUGUUACUGCUUUUGCAAAAAAGAAAAAAUACUAUAUAUAUAUAUGUACUAUAUAUAUAUAAAUAUAUAACUAUCAAUCACUUCUGUCCUUGAGAAAGUCUUGAAUGAACAAAGAAUUUAUUCCAUUGCAUUAGUUGAUUGUAUAGAGGCGCCCUGUUUCAUCAGCAGAAGAGGCGAAAAGGCCGUGUGUAAGUUUUUGGUACUGUGUACCACCUGUUGUUGUUCUAAAGCGAAGUAUUCAUGUACGUAAACCAUAUUCUAUUUAAUUGUGUUUGAUUUUAAAAUAUAUAUAUAUGAAUUAUAUUUAAAAUCGUGUCAGCUUUCUGCUUUCAGGGCAUUUAUGGCUCUUCUGUUGAAUAUCUUAAUCCUUCCAAAUAAUUCCAUUUGCUUUACAAAACCCCUGAACUUGAGCCACUACUGGACUUAGCCUUGUGUUUGCACUGUAUGGCAUAGACCUGAGGUUUUUAUUAAGGAUAUAUGCUGUGAUUAACUUAUUUUGUUCUUUUUAACAAGAAUAUUUUCAUCUAUCUCACCUUGUUUCAAUCUAUGAUGGAAAAGCAAUACAAAGGUCAUAGAAUAAACUGGUUUGGGGUAACUCUGGCUGCCUCUGCAUGUUGUGGAGUAACAAUUUCUGGAAGAUUCUAGGCUCUUUAAGCUGAUGCUUUCAGUGAGAUAAUUUCUGAUGGUUUCUUGGUAUACGUUUUGUGCUUCUGAGCGGGAGAUCCCAGUAGCUGUAAGCCUGUGGUGGAGGGAAGAGCAAGUUGGAGGUUUCGUUACCUUUUUUCUGCUCCACCCGCCAACCCACCUCCGUGGUGAGAUGCAGAAGUUGGAAUUGGGUUCGCCUGACAUUGAGCACCCUUUGUGUCCCAGGCUCUGUUCAGGGCAUCUGGAGAAUAUGAUUCCCUGGCAGGGUUUUUAUAGGUUCAAGGAAUAAGCUUCACCUUUAUCAUGUCAUUGACAUCAAACACAAAUUGUUUAAAAAGAAAAGAUGCCAGUGAGAAAGUGAUACCUCUGAUAACUUUGUGUCUAAAUAACUUCUGUAAGAUUGGGUGAAAGUAAAAAGCAAAUGUCAAACCAAAUCCAGUGAAGAGCAAUAAAACAGGGAGCAACUUUUUGUAACUUUAUCUACGUGAGUUUUAGUAUUGUGUAGAACUUUCUGAAUUGUAAGCAUUUUACAGUACUGGCGCUUUAACUGGUUGGGUAGGAAUCUGGAGGGGACGGUCACUCUGAGUUUACAAAGUUACAGACUUUUUUGUUUUAUGUAAGUGUUGAGAGCUAAGACCCUGAUGGACGCAGCAGCUGACCUCUAGUGGUGCUGUCUGGGGACCUGACUGUCUCACAGUAACCCCUCCUGGCCCCCACCUACACUGGCACAGGAGUAGGGGCCACAAUUCUGGAGGAAGACUUUGCUCUCCCACCGUUUCCUCCUUGUCACCACAUACCAGCUGACUCAGGGUUGAACUCUGACCCAAACGAGCCUAAUUCUUUAUUUUGGGAGUUUCGCUUGGAUAAGGAGAGAUAGCAGUUGCCCUCUGGGGUGGUGGCUUGGAGGGUCACUUACCCAGGCAGGAGCCUGCAUGUGCAGACAGGCCUGCGAGAGCAGCUGCCUUGGCAACCCUGAGGACUGCAUGUGGCCCUGCACCCUUCCUUGGACUCCAUUAAUCCCUCAGGUGUGCUUAGAAUGAAUUUUGAGUUUUUUCAGAAUCAGUCUGAAUUGAGUUUCUACUGCAUGCAGCCAAGAGGCCGUAAUAAAAGGACCAUGGCUCUGAUUCCUGAUGACCCUGUGUACUCAGCAUGUCUGCAAAGCACUGCUGAAUUCUGGAGCAUUUCCCUUUUGUAAACUUUCCCUGAUCAUCUUGUGUUUUUUUCUCAAAACGGAAUCCUAAUCUAAUGUAAAUGAAAGACACUCACUCUUCCUUACAGUGAGGAGUGAGGAAGGGACAGGGUAGGUGCCAACAUCCUGUGGGGCAGUGACCAUUAGGACUCAGGACAGGGGUCGUCUUCCUGUCUCCCGACUUCCUUCUCCACUCUCAGCAACUCUGCUAAACCUGGAAACACAGGGUGUUCCAGGUAAUGAGUGCCCGACACAAGCUUAACAUAGAGGAAGGGGGUAAUGAUUACAAAGCUUGUAAAUGCUGACCACUUCUGUGGAUGCGGCAAGGUCUCUGGCAUUCGGCUGGAGGCACAAAGGGAAAGUAGGCACCAGUGAACCCUGUGAGGCGACAGCAUCAGCGGCCGCAGUAGUAGCUGCCCUCUGAUCCCCUUACAGGUGGUCAUUGUGAGCCCUGAGGGAGCCGUCCCCUGUGUGGGCAGAAUCGGGAGUGGCUUGGAGCAGGGAGGAUGGGGCUCUGCCUCCGGGACAGGCCUCGGGGUCAUUCGUGACCAUGUAGGAUUUCUGCCCAGUUUGGCAUGCAGGCAAGGUGUUCCUUUGGUACUGCCUACUGUGGCACAUUUAGGAUGUCACAGACCUCACCUGGAAUCCUUAGGCUUCUCGCCUAAGGGUGAUAGCGCAUCCACCACCUCCUAGCACCCCCUGAGGCACUGCAGGACUGAGCCCUUUGGUGUCCCCUGAGUAGCCCUUGUCAGCACAGGCUGGAACAGUAGGCAAGGAGCCUAGGAAGAGCAGACCUGACUUCACCUCCCAGGGAACCAGGAUUUGCCAGGGAGUCCAUGAGAGACGAAGGCUGUGACAGCUGUGGCAUUUCUCCCAGCCUCAGAUUUCCAGUCUCUUGCCUUAAAGGUGCCUUCUUCAGUCUCAUCCCUGAGUGAUUCCAAGCCAGCCUCUGCCUGAAUCAUGGGAAGGAUCUCACAUACCGUACCUGUGGAGGAGGCUCUGACUUGAAGAAGCACCUCGCCAGGACUUAGGGCUUCGGACUAAGGGCAGCUCUUAAGUCUGGACCCCAGCCUCACCAGCUCCCCAGAGCCCAACAAAAGCACCCAGGUGUUAGUUUCCCGUGGCCAACAGCAACCUUUGUUCCUUCUAAUUACAGAACAACUGAUGUAGUGAAUGUUUACUCUGUUAUAACAAAGCUGGGCGCUGUUUACAGUGCAAGGGCACAGGAACAAAGUAAACAAACUUGGAAGCCCCACAGAGCUUGCUUUCUACUGAGGAGGCGGUGGAAGUUGCAUCUAGAAUAUAUGUUGUUACUUUGGACUCAAGCUGACUUUUUGAGCCCAGGUUUAACUUCCUUUAUUCCUCAAAAGAAAUCACUGGGUCUCCCCUUGGACCACCCCAAGGAGAGCUACAGCUUAGGGAGGGAAAAGGCGGCGAUACCCUCUUAACCCCAUGCCCUGUGAGGACCAGAUGCUGUAUUUUUUUUUAAGCAUUUUAUUUUAUUAUUAUUUUUUUUUACAGGCAGAGUGGACAGUGAGAGAGAGAGAGACAGAGAGAAAGGUCUUCCUUUUGCCGUUGGUUCACCCUCCAAUGGCCGGCGUACCGCGCUGAUCCGAUGGCAGGAGCCAGGUACUUCUCCUGGUCUCCCAUGGGGUGCAGGGCCCAAGCACUUGGGCCAUCCUCCACUGCACUUCCUGGCCACAGCAGAGAGCUGGCCUGGAAGAGGGGCAAGCGGAACAGAAUCCGGCGCCCCGACCGGGACCAGAACCCGGGGUGCCAGCGCCACAGGCGGAGAGGAUUAGCCUAGCGAGCCGCAGCGCCGGCCUCAGAUGCUGUAUUCUUCCAUUCGUUUGCUGCAGACCAGGUGUAGGCACUUAGCCUGGGGUUGGGCACCUGGUUAGCAAAAAGCCUGCUCUCUGAGAUGGUCAGGAUGAGCUUCUCUGUGAACAGGGUAAGGCUUAGAGGACACCAGAGGAUCAGCCCCAACCCCCAUGGCUCUCUGAGUUCUACUUAAAUGAUGGUAAGGACUGGCCAGCGUAAUCCAGUAUGUGCUGGUUCCAGGCACUAUCAGAGCCUUACAAAGGAAGUACUUGUUUUUCCCUUAGAAAUGAGGACAGUAGUUGUUUGCUCUUGUCUCGUUUUGCAGCUCAUUCGUACUCGCCACAGGCUAGUAUGGCAGAUGCUGAAGGCUUAAGAAAACUGGUGGCUUUAAAAUGAAAAACAUUCCAUCCGUUACCUUAAAGCAGUAGUUCUUAAACUUGCACCCACAUCAGGAUCCCCCAGAGACUUCUUAAAACAUAGAGUGCUGGGCCUAACCCGAGUUUCUGACUUACUAGGUUUGGGUUAGGGCCCGAGAAUUUGCAUUUUUCACAGAUGGACAGAUGAUUAUGCUGCUUUGGAGUCGACACUUUUGUGGAUCACUGCCUUAAAGUCUUUCCAGCAAAUCGGGAAAUCAACGUUUCCAUUUAUUGGCUAUAUAGAAGUAUAGUUUGAGGCGCAUUACCCAUGAUUCACUCAACACGAGUCCUUUGUUAGUCAAAUGUGUAUCAAUGCUGAGAGCACCCAAGCCCCACCCCACUGUCUCAUCAUGAGAACCUGGCCAGCGCUGAGGCCAUCAAGGCCAUCCUCACUGGGGUGGAGCUUAGCGGAGGCCACCACACAGCAGUCACAGACCCGGUGCCUUUGCUGGGGACGGGGAGCCUGACAGUCCCCUAGGUCUGAGACUUUGCACUGUUGGGAAUCACACCUAAGUCCCCAUGGACCGUUUUGCACUAAUCCUGCCUCGUCCAUGUCCUUCCAGCUUACCUCCCAGGUCCUUGCUGCCAGUUACCCUCCAGGAUCCUGACCAUGACUUUUCCUCAUUUCUUCCUUUCUUUCUCAUUUGCCGAAUCUCCCUCCUGACCAUUUGUUCUCCAGCAUGUGUUUCCUGAUGGCCUGUUAAUGUGACUAUGCUAGGUGCUGAGGACACAGUCAUACCCAGGACAGACAGACUGCCCGCCCUCCCUGUGGUCUAGGAAGCGAGGAAUUACAAGUGGAGUGAGCGCUGUGAGGGUAAGGAAGCUUCUGGGGGGGAUUUAGGUGGACACCCUCAUCCCCUAUGACUUACACUCCCUGGUCAUCUCAGUCUUUCUGCCUAUCCUACAUGUCUCCUCUCCCUCAAGGUGCCGCUAUUUCACAGUCCUAACUACAUAUCCAGGCCACUCUUAACCCCCUCCCCAGCUGGAGCAGGACUCCGUGUCCAGGUUGUACACCAGCACCUGCUCCUGGCCGGUGCUGCCACCACAGUUUUGCUCAGACUCCUCACUGAAACCCUUGACCACCUGGGAGCCAGUCCUCCGCCAUCUGGCUGCAGGCGGCCGCUGGCUUGCUCUCCAAGUCUGAUACACCACUCCUUUCUCCAUGCCUUUGUUCCGCUCCAGGAAGCGGCACUGGCCAUGGUGACCAUCGGCCCAGCAACUGUGGCCUGUGGUUCUUUACCUGUUCUUUUCUCAAGAAUGGGAAAAUAUUGAGGAUGGUGUUUUACUCCACCCGUAACCAAACUCGGUCAUCUGCCGCAACUGCUCUACCUCUGGUUUCUUCUCACACGUGUUAGCCCACAGCAACCUCAGAUGGGGCAAGUCUGAAUGGUCAGAGAUUCCUCCUGUGGGAGUGGGUUGAAAGAAGGGAGGGAAGGAACUUACUCAUUCCAGGAAGAUACUCCUUCACCAUUACAAGGGUCUAGUUUUGUAAACCAGCUUUUCAGAGAGCAAUUUCAAAAGCAGUUAAGUGAGCAGUUCUGGUGCAAGGACUACAGACAUCAGCCUAUAACUUGGGGGUGGGGGGAUGACAGUCCUAAGGGGGUGAUUUGCAUGAAACUCUCCAAUGAGAGUGUCAGAUGUGUGUCUUCAAAGUGCUGCAAUCAAACACCUUAGACACGAGAGACGAGGUGCACGUCCGAGACACUGGCUAUAGGUAUCAUGAAGACAUUGAUAUCCAAGAUUCUUGUAGAGAAUUUGAAUCAGAUUGUUAUUUGAAAUAUGAGAAUGGGGAAAAAGCAAUAUUUUGUAUUAAUGUAUUAUUGUAUAUAAUGUUAUUUUAAAUAAGCAUGUGUAACUAAAUUAAUAAAUUAGAUACUAUAAUGA